rnacentral:tRNA from 1 species
GGGUACGUAGUUUAAUGGUAAAACAGUUCUCUGAUAAAGAACAGACCGAUAGUUCGAUUCUAUCCGUACCCACCC